rnacentral:snRNA from 1 species
AUCGCUUCUCGGCCUCUUGGCUCAGAUCAUGCGUAGUUUCUGUUCUUAUCAGUUUAAUAUCUGAUAGUCUCCUUUUCGGGGACCGUAUAUUAAAUUGAUUUUUGGAACAAGGAGACAUACGAAGGGCUUGCUCUGUACUCUCCGCGCAUCAUCCUGGUAUUGCAGUAUAUCCAGGUAUGGUGCACCUUUC